UAGAGGAAGUAAAAGUCGUAACAAGGUUUCCGUAGGUGAACCUGCGGAAGGAUCAUUACUGGGUAAAAAGGCUUCUUGCCUCCAACCCCACCCUCUGUAACCGCGGCCCGGAUUCGGCGCCUGGCGGGGGACCCCUCUGUUCGCGGAGGCCUCCCGCCUGCCGGAAUCAGCCAACACUGCCCUAGAAAUUGAAGUCUGAGAAAAAUUCUAAAUUAAACAAAACUUUCAACAACGGAUCUCUUGGUUCUGGCAACGAUGAAGAACGCAGCGAAAUGCGAUAAGUAAUGUGAAUUGCAGAAUUCAGUGAAUCAUCGAAUCUUUGAACGCACAUUGCGCCCCCUGGUAUUCCGGGGGGCACACCUGUUCGAGCGCCAUUUUCACCAUCGAGCCCUGCUCGGAGUUGGGUCUCGUCCUCGCGGACGGGCCCGAAACAUGUGGGCGCCUCUGUCCGGCCCUGAGCGUAGCAAGAGAAAUCCCUCGCUCAGUGGACCGUCUGGCGGCAGCCCCGACCAUUUUUUAUAAGGUUGGCCUCGGAUCAGGUGGGGAUACCCGCUGAACUUAAGCAUAUCAAUAAGC
rnacentral:rRNA from 1 species